CACCAGAUUAAUAAUGACAGGUUAAUUUACUUAGUUAGUUAGUUAGUUAAUUUGGCUCAAAAGCAAAUAGCAAGGCCAUGUAGGGGGACAUGGAGUUAAGUACAGAGUAGUGUUCAUGUAAAGAAUUCAGACCACUUGAGGCCACUUGAACAAAGCGAUCGUCGGCAUCUUCACUAUCUCGUCUGGCAGCUUGUUCCACGGAUCCGCAACCCGGACGGAGAAAGCUCCUCUCUUUCGAUUGA